rnacentral:rRNA from 1 species
AGUGAACGCUGGCGGUAGGCCUAACACAUGCAAGUCGAACGGCAGCACAGUAAGAGCUUGCUCUUACGGGUGGCGAGUGGCGGACGGGUGAGGAAUACAUCGGAAUCUACUUUUUCGUGGGGGAUAACGUAGGGAAACUUACGCUAAUACCACAUACGACCUACGGGUGAAAGCAGGGGAUCUUCGGACCUUGCGCGAUUGAAUGAGCCGAUGUCGGAUUAGCUAGUUGGCGGGGUAAAGGCCCACCAAGGCGACGAUCCGUAGCUGGUCUGAGAGGAUGAUAAGCCACACUGGAACUGAGACACGGUCCAGACUCCUACGGGAGGCAGCAGUGGGGAAUAUGGGACAAUGGGCGCAAGCCUGAUCCAGCCAUACCGCGUGGGUGAAGAAGGCCUUCGGGUUGUAAAGCCCUUUUGUUGGGAAAGAAAAGCAGCAGGUUAAUACCCCGCUGUUCUGACGGUACCCAAAGAAUAAGCACCGGCUAACUUCGUC